ensembl:lncRNA
GUACUGCUAACAUUGUUUCCUUGUGAGUUCAGCUAGCCCCAAAUUCAGUUAAGUCUUUGCUUAUGAAUCCCUUCGAAAGAAGAACAUUUGCAGAAAAAUUGCAAGUAAAUGAACAGAAGUGAACAUGACCCAACAAGCAAGAGAAAAGGAUAGAGCCUACAAGAGAAGUUUUUCCAGAGUUUGGUUCAGGCUUGGCUAACUAGCUGUGGGUAUGCCAAUGCAAUUUUUUGCUUUCCUUGUAUACUUUUUAAAAUAAGUGCGUGCGAUAGUUUGUGGACACAGACAGGGUUGACAGACCUGAAACAUCUGUCAGAACGGAUAAAAAAAACACAAGCGAGCAAGAGUGCAUAUGAACAACUGUGUGAAGCUAGCCAUGCUAGAGUCCGUCGGCCCUGCUCGUACCCUCCAGCGCCUGGUGUCCGCCGGCGCCGGGCAUGACUCCAGCAUCAGUGGCAGCAGCACACCGCAGCCUCCCCCGCGUCUGCCCCGGCACCCGGGAUCCGCCGGCUCCCGCGUCAACAGCCGCGUUCACAUCAAGCAGCCCCUGCUGCAACUGCCGCAGAUGCCCAAUAGCCGCUUCGCGAACCCCCACGUUCGCGACCGCAGCUAGUUGCAGGUGGCUGAUCGCUUCCUCGUUGGUUGACUUUGUGGAAAAGCCGGCUAGCUUCACGUUUCCUAUGAGUCCAGUCUCAGGACCAGGGCAUUGGUGUAAAUUGCCGGAUAACAGUAAACAUAGUGAGAUUAUCAAACUGUUGUUGUAUUGGCGUUUUCUCAUGGCCCAUGUUUUACACUUUGGUCCAAUGUGUGGAGACUUUGUCCAAACCCAAGUAUGAAUUACACCUCGGCCAAAGCCGAGAUGUUUAUAUCCGAUGCCCGUUGUUAUACCGGUCUGGAAUUCGACUCCUUGGCAUUGGGAGGAAAUAUUUAUCCUGUUCAGAUAAACUACAAGGCUCUCCGUUGGAUUUCCACAAAGGCUUGAUAGUAAAGCAUAUCCUAGGAGAGCAGCAAGCACACCCGUCUCACCAGCCCGUGCCAUGGUGUGGAUCCGUCGACGGACGGAGGGAUUGAGGUUAGAGGUUAGAGGUUAGAGAGGCUGAUGGAGGUUGGCUCACUGUGUAGGUUGGGAAGUAUUAGAGCCGGGUUUCAGGUGGGUUUCUCUGUCUAUUUCAAGGGGAGCGCUGUAACGUCAGGAGCGCUACUUCCUGCUGCAGUGAACUCUGUGAGUGGGCUUCGAAUCUAGACUCCAGAGCAGUCUUGUGAGCAGUAUUGAACUCUAGAGCGGUGUUGAAACUCUUGAGCAGUGCUGAUGCUCUAGAGCAGUGUUGAAACUCUAGGGCAAUGUGAAACUCGAGAGCAGUGCUGAAACUAUAUUGCCGUAUAUAAAGCAGUGUUGAAACUCUAGAGCAGUGCUGAAACACUAGAGCAGUGCUGAAACACUAGAGCAGUGCUGAAACUAGUGCAGUAUAUAAAGCAGUGUUGAAACUCUAGAGCAGUGUUUCUUUAGCCUACUCUCCGGUACCCAACGGCUCCAUCUGUACCACUUUAUGUCGAACCACUCAUGUUUUUCAAUUAACUUAUAUUGGAAAAUUAUCUUUCAGAAUUAAUAUCAAUAUUUUGUAAUAUUUUAAUAAAUGAAAGAAACAGAGUCGUAAUUGUAUUCAUGCCUUAACCUCAUCUAAAUCCUUACAAGUACCUUGUAAUCUGCUCACGUUCCCCUCCAGGGUAUAUGAACUCCCUGUUGAAAAUCUGAGACAAGCCAUAUACGAACACCAUGUCCAGGAAUAACGGGAAUAAUGAAAGCUGUCCGAUGUUACAGCCAAGCUGAACAUUUCUGGUCCAAACCCAGAGCUCCAGGUUUUAGUAAUCAAAAUCUGAAGGCAAGGAUUUAAUAUUAAUAAUAAGAGGUGUUGGCAGGCACACUCAAGCUCCAGUGUAUUUAAGAAUUCAUGUUUCUUACUUUGAUUCAGAUAAGCUUAAACCACACAAUGCCCAGAGUGAUCGCCGAUUUUAAAAGUCAAUAGUUUAUCUACACAGAACAGAGGUAUAGUUGGAAUUGCUAUUAUAUUAAUUAUAUUUCUUACUCUUGUUAUCCCUAUCUCAUUGUGUACUUUUUCUCUUUACGUUUUGAUACAUUCUUAAUAAUUGUUGCGUGGCUUGACUCAAUAAUUACAUUGUUCAGAAACCUGUAUUUUAUUGUGCAGUUGAUAAAUAAAUCCCUUGAAUCUGGA